UCCCUUGGGUUAGUUUCAAUGUUGUUAGGUAAGCUCCCUUGUGGUCUUUCCAAAAAAAGUUUGGCAAGCUAUCCAAUUUGAGUUUUGAGCCCUUAAAUCGAUGCUUGCUAAUUUUUUAGAGUUGUCUCAGUGUUUUGAAAUCGAGUUUCUAACACCGAAAUAAAUUUAGCUAACAACUCCUCAAGGUUUAGCUUAUUCUUUUGCUGAUAAGGUUGCUAAAAACUUGGAAGGGAUUGUGACAUUUGAUUUCCUUAAC
rnacentral:lncRNA from 1 species